rfam:Gracilibacillus kekensis strain CGMCC 1.10681 genome assembly, contig: Ga0079828_106
ACGCAUCUGUUUCAAUACCUUCAUAUAUGUUUGAGAAUAGGGCUCAAAUGUUUCUACCGGAACACCGUAAAUGUUCGGACUAUGAAGGCGGCGAUCUUACCA